rnacentral:rRNA from 1 species
CGAGAAAUUCCGUUUCGGCGGGAGAGUACAGUGGCGAACGGGUGAGUAACGCGUGAGCGAUCUACCCUUGAGCGGGGGAUAACAUUCUGAAAGGGGUGCUAAGACCGCAUAAGCCUGUAACUGUCGAGGUUAUGGGGAAAGGCCUUCGGGUCGCUGAAGGAGGAGCUCGCGUCGGAUUAGCUAGUUGGUGGGGUAAAGGCUCACCAAGGCGACGAUCCGUAGCCGGUCUGAGAGGACGGACGGCCACACUGGGACUGAGACACGGCCCAGACUCCUACGGGAGGCAGCAGUGGGGAAUUUUGGGCAAUGGGGGCAACCCUGACCCAGCAACGCCGCGUGGAGGAAGAAGGUCUUCGGGUCGUAAACUCCUGUCCAGAGGGACGAAGCAAGUGACGGUACCUCUGGAGGAAGCCCCGGCUAACUCCGCGCCAGCAGCCGCGGUAAUACGGGGGGGGCAAGCGUUGUUCGGAAUUACUGGGCGUAAAGGGCGCGAAGGCGGCUUCGGAAGUCAUGGGUGAAAGCCCCGGGCUCAACUCGGGAAUGGCCUGUGAAACCACGGGGCUGGAGUGCUGGAGAGGGAAGCGGAAUUCCCAGUGUAGCGGUGAAAUGCGUAGAUAUUGGGAGGAACACCUGCGGCGAAGGCGGCUUCCUGGACAGACACUGACGCUGAGGCGCGAAAGCCAGGGGAGCAAACGGGAUUAGAUACCCCGGUAGUCCUGGCUGUAAACGAUGAACACUUGGUGUAGGGGGUGAUGAAAGUCCCUCGGCGCCGGAGAAAACUCAUUAAGUGUUCCGCCUGGGGAGUACGGCCGCAAGGCUGAAACUCAAAGGAAUUGACGGGGGCCCGCACAAGCGGUGGAGCAUGUGGUUUAAUUCGACGCAACGCGAAGAACCUUACCGGGAUUUGAACUGUACGGCAAUCGGCAGAGAUGUCGAGUUCCUUUCGGGGACUCGUACAGAGUGCUGCAUGGCUGUCGUCAGCUCGUGUCGUGAGAUGUUGGGUUAAGUCCCGCAACGAGCGCAACCCUUGUCUGUA